rnacentral:rRNA from 1 species
UACGUAGGGGGCAAGCGUUGUCCGGAUUUAUUGGGCGUAAAGAGCUCGUAGGUGGUUCGGUAAGUCGGAUGUGAAAUCUCCAGGCUCAACCUGGAGGGGUCAUUCGAUACUGCCGUGACUAGAGGUCGGUAGGGGAGUGUGGAAUUCCUGGUGGAGCGGUGAAAUGCGCAGAUAUCGGGAGGAACACCCAAUGGCGAAGGCAGCUCGCUGGGACGUGACUGACGCUGAGACGCGAAAGCGUGGGGAGCAACAGG